rnacentral:rRNA from 1 species
GAUGAACGCUGGCGGCGUGCCUAAUACAUGCAAGUCGAGCGAACAGAUGAGGAGCUUGCUCCUCUGACGUUAGCGGCGGACGGGUGAGUAACACGUGGUUAACCUAACUAUAAGACUGGGAUAACUACGGGAAACCGUAGCUAAUACCGGAUAAUAUAUUGAACCGCAUGGUUCAAUAGUGAAAGACGGUUUUGCUGUCACUUAUAGAUGGAUCAGCGCCGCAUUAGCUAGUUGGUAAGGUAACGGCUUACCAAGGCAACGAUGCGUAGCCGACCUGAGAGGGUGAACGGACAGACUGUCACUGAGACACGGUCGAGACUCCGAGAGGAGGCAGCAGUAGGGAAUCUUCCGCGAUGGACGAGAGCCGGAUGGUGCAACGCCGCGUAAGUGAUGAUGGUCUUCUGAUGGUAGAGCGCUGUAAUUAGGGAAGUAGAAAAGUGUAAGUACCUGUGCUCGUCUUGACGGUACCUAAACAAUAAGCCACGGCUAACUACGUG